CGUAGGGUGCGAGCGUUAAUCGGAAUUACUGGGCGUAAAGCGUGCGCAGGCGGUUUGGUAAGACAGGCGUGAAAUCCCCGGGCUUAACCUGGGAACUGCGUUUGUGACUGCCAGGCUAGAGUACGGCAGAGGGGGUGGAAUUCCACGUGUAGCAGUGAAAUGCGUAGAGAUGUGGAGGAACACCAAUGGCGAAGGCAGCCCCCUGGGUCGAUACUGACGCUCAUGCACGAAAGCGUGGGUAGCAAACAGGAUUAGAUACCCUGGUAGUCCACGCCCUAAACGAUGUCAACUAGGUGUUGGGAGGGUAAAACCUUUUAGUACCGUAGCUAACGCGAGAAGUUGACCGCCUGGGGAGUACGGCCGCAAGGUUA
rnacentral:rRNA from 1 species